UGACGUCACUUCCGGGGCGGAGGAGGUUGAGUGGUGCAGUGAGGGACAAACAAAAGGAGGCGCCGGAGGGGCGCAGCAGCCGGCGGCGGGACGGAGCGGCCGGGGCGCGGGGCUGCCUGCCGGGCAGCCGGACCCGACGGGACAAGGGAGGCAGCUUCCAUGGAGCGAGAGGAAUGCCAGGACCCUGCCCAGACAGACGUGGGCCAGCCUCAGCACCGACAGCCAGCACGCAGAUAGCAGAACCGUCCAAGGGCCCAGAUCUGGUCGGUCUGACUUGUUAACCGGACCGUCCUGUGACCACAUUUCCCAAGGUGUUGUUCCGUGGAACGCCUGUACCUGUGGUCGCAGUGGUUGGAUGACUCUGGGAAACGACUUGACCUUGCUGUGGGACUUCUUAGCCUUGACUGCAUCUAAGGGAGCACGAUGAGUCUCUGAGAGGGGGCCGGCAAGUUGCGCGUCGCCACAGUUAAUUGAGCGCGUGGACGUCUUUGGGGACUGGGGUUCCUUGGCCCACGCUUUGGAAAACAGUUCCCAAAGGUGGGAAAGUGCACUGGUUGGGACCCAGACUUCAUAGUCUGGGAUGUGGGUUUGGUGAGUGACUGUGGGCCAGCCGCUGUACCUCUCUGAGCCUCUGUUCCCUUAGCCAUAAAAAUGUGAUGAUUUUAGUACCUCAUCUUGCUUUAAAUAUGUUGAUAUAGGGAAGGCACUUAGCAGCGUGUGUCCCAGGACGUGUCUCAUAACCUUAGCGGGUACGUGGCUAGAUGGCUGUAUCAUUUGUAAAACCCACCCUUGUCAAUGAUUUCCUCUGAUCAUUUGGAGAAACUCAGGCAGUGGCCUUCAUCCCUCGUUUAUAGAUGUGGGAACUAAAGCUCAAAGUGGGGAAAGUUGCCCAAGAGUUCAGGAAGGCAGGCAGGGAUGUGGGGCUGGAACCAGAUCCUGGAAUCCUGAGCCAGGGUCCUUUGUUCUGUGCCCCAGGCCUCGCUGCAUCCACCUGGCACCUCAGCUUUUUGUUAAGGAGGGCCUGGCCCUCCCCAGCCUGGAUUUUAAAAGAAACAGUAAUUUUUUUUUUUUUUUUUUUAACUAUCAGCAGAGUUGCAUGUUCAUUAUAUGUUUUUAUAACAUUUUGAUUUUGAUGUCACGGAAAGCGAAAGUCUCCCGCGAUCCCAUCCCCGGAGAGGUGAAUGGGGAGGGUAUGGUUCCACAUGUGGUGUUACUGUUUGCUUAUUUUCCCCAUGUCAAGUCUCGCUAGGGCGGCUGGUUCACAGCUUGCUCUUGCUUCAUUUCCUGGUUCCCGCAGGCCCUCUUUCCCAGGCACAGGGUGGAUCCGUGUGUGAGUCCCCGUCAGCACAGCCCCACUGCCCCCAUCCUCACCUUUCUGGGGUUUUGAGCUGUUAGCGCAUUGACAACAGCACCGAGGGGGGUAGGAAAUACCUGGUGUGUGAUUUUGUGGACUCUCCUGUUUACUGAGAGGAGGUCAGCAAACCCCAGCCCUGCCCUGUAGGAGUUUCCUGUUGGUUUUGAGGAACUCUACCUCCUGGAGAGGAAGGGGAAGCCUGAGCCGAAGUUCUUCUGGCCAGCGAUGAGUGGGAAGCAGCAGGUCCUACUUAUCUGAGAUCAGAAAUCCUCCUCCGUGCCAGGGACAGCUUGGAGGGAACGGCCUGGGCUGGCCUGAGAGGUUUCGGCCUCCUCUGUCUACCUAGGGCAGGGGCCAGGUGGGGGGGGUUGGAAGGGACAUGCACGAAUUGCUGUGUUGCCUGAGUCUGGCCCUGACUCACUGACCCUGGCAAUUCCUGGGGAAAGUCUUGGUCCCUUUGGAAUGCUCCUAUUCGGUUUUGUUUUGUUCUGUUUUGUCUUAUUUUUAAGAUUUUAUUUUUGGGGGCAUCUGGGUGGCUCAGUUGGUUAAGCAUCCAACUUUCGGCUCAGGUCAUGAUCUCCCAGUCCGUGAGUUCAAGCACCGUGUGGGGCUCUGUGCCGACAGGUCAGAGCCUGGAGCCUGCUUCAGAUUCUGUGUCUCCCCCUCUCUGUGUAUAAGCCCCUGCCCCGCUUAUACCCUGCCCCUCCCUCCCUCUCUCUCUCUCUCUCUCUCUCUCUCUCUCUCUCUCAAAAAUAAACAUUAAAAAAAUUUUUUAAAGAUUUUGUUUUUAAGUAAACUCUACACCCAACACGGGGCUCGAACUCACAACCCCCAAAAUCAAGAGUCACAUGCUCCACCGACUGAGCCAGCCAGAUGCCCCUCUCCUUUCAGGUUUUAACCUUGAGGGUGGGCAGGGGAGGAGAAGGCAGAGGGCCUGCCCUGGGACCCGGGUCUGAAGAUGCUCUGUUGGGGCAGGAGGGAUUUCAGGCCUGGCAGCCUGGUUUUGUGGUCUGGCAGGGUCGAGCUGGGAACGAGGUGUCCCUGACCUGGUGGCCUUCUCAGGCUCCCUGACCUGACCUUCUUCCUCACCGGGUUUCCUCCUCCUGUUCUUUCCCUGCAGUUUCUUUUCCUUCUCUCUGGAGACACUUUGGCUCCAGGAAUUGGGCUGUCCGCCUUCUCCCUCGUUCUAACGGCAGGGCCUUCCUGUCCCCCAGUUGUCCCCAGUGGCCACAGUCGGAGCACUGGGUGGUAUGUCGGGUCACUGCAUACAUAUGGCAGCUCCCCGCCACGGUCUCCUCUAUGAGAUGGCUCCACCGUUUUUACAGGGUCAGAGACCACAGCUGGGACUCGAACCCGGAGCUGUUAGCUUUGGCAGCCUGUGCUCUUUCCACCCCACCUUCCGUUUUUCUUUUUCUCCAGGUUCUCAGGCUUGGAGGUACUUUAGAGCUUCCCUGGGGUAGGGGUGGGGGGGCUUGUUGACAAUGCUGUUUCCCCGGGGACCCAUCGCCACACACCUGGGCAGGGGUGGGCCCAGGAAUCUGCAUUCUGAGGACGCUCCCAGGCUGUCGUGAGGCGGCCGGUCUGUGGACCAUCCCAGGAGACACUGAGCAGGGCGAUGCUUUCAGCCCUGGUCCCCACCUCUGGCAAAGGCGUCCAUCUGACACCCUUGGUCUAGAAGCAGGGCCGAGCUGUCCUCAGCAGCGGGGAUUCCAGUGACUUCCCAGAACGUGUCGGGGGGUUGACCAUCCCUUGUCUAGGAUGCGUUGGGACUGAGGUUUCUAGAACGGCUUUUACUCCCAGCCGCAAACAUCCCCUGCUAUCUCUCCCGAUGCGUUUCUGCUGCAUCUCGUAGUAAGUUCUAUGUUUAACUGUCUCUUGAGGGCCUAAAACCUCAAAAUUAAAUAGGCUGCUGCAAUAUAGCCUCCUGCCUGGAGCGGCCUUCCACCGGAGUAAAAGUGGCUGUAAAAUUCCAGAGCUCUCACAUGCCACCUAGACACCCUCAGAGGUGCCAGCACCAAACUCCGGAGUCGGCUGUUGACAAAUGUUCCGGUGGGGGGCGGGGGUGGCAGGAAGCUGGGUGCACGGGGAUCCUGCACUUCACACCUCCCCCCUGGUGCCCUGUGUUGGGAUCUCUGGGGGCAGCACCCCCCUCCAGCCCAGAGAGCUGGGCCACAGGCAGCUUACCUUGGUCUCAGUCCCAGUCCCCUGGGAUCUCAGCAGAAGAUGUGUCUGCAGCCUCCUUUAGGUGCUCCUGCCCCUAUUUUGUAACCUGUCCAGGCAGGCAGUGCUGGUAUUCAUAGCAGAUCGAGGCCCACCUCCAAGGCCCCUUUGCCACCACGGACCCUGAUCUGGCAUCUGGCUUCUGGGCCCAGACCUGACAGAGCAGGGCUCCUUUCUAGAGUCUCCUUAAAGCUAUACCUGAGACACCAGAGGCGUCUGAGUAUGCUCUGCUCGGGUUCCCUGCAGAAGCCUUGAUUCCAUGUACCCCUCGGGAAAAGGAGGUCUUGUCUUAGGAAGCAUUUCCAGGGUUCCAGGUGCUCAGGUAGGGUCAGGAGCCCCACUAGCCUUUGACACAGGUUGGCAUAAUGGAAAGGCAGACUGGUGGUGAUCCUUCCCACCAUCUUCUAGCUCUGUGGCCUUGGGCAGGUCGCUUAACCACUCUCCCAUAAAGGGACUGAUGAGGACGCCUCCCAUAACAAUAACAGCAGCUAACAUUACAGAGUCUUAAUACGUGGCAGGCACCGGGCCAGAAGCUUUCCAUGGACUCCCUCGUUCAGUCCUCACUACAACUCACGAGCCAUUUUACAGAUGAGGAAACCCAGAGCCCUGGGAGGUAAGAGGACUUUCCCAAGACCACCCACUGGUGAAUUGGAAAGCCACCUUCCUGGUUUUCGUGGAGAUUGGGAGCCGAGGCACAGGAAGUGCUGGGCUCAGUGCUGGCACAUGGUCCCCGCCGGUAGCCAGGAGCGCUAAUGCCAGCCUGGUGUGGUGAGGGGGUGGCUUGAGCCUCCAGCCUGGCCUGUUGCCUCUGUGAGUCCAGGAGCCCCAGAUGGGUGUCCCUCACCUGUCACCCUUCACCCUGUAAGGUAGGCCACAGCCUUGUGAGAUUGUAUGAGGACAGCCCUGUUUGGGAGGCCUGGCCCAAACAUGAGAGCAGUUUGGAAGUGAAACUUGUUCCCUCCCCCUCCCGCCUCGACUGUCUCCCAUCUUCCUUUCCCGGGAAGUGAGGGUGUGCCUUGCUCCACAGGCUGAGUGCCAAGCCAGGCAGUGCCCCUGGCCCGCUGCUGACUCACCCCAAGUGGGUGUGGGGGCCUGGAGGGCAAUGCCCUGCUCUUCAGUGGGUGGGGGCUGUGUGCACCAGAUGGCGAGGUGCGACCUUUCCUCCCACUGCCAGCUCUGGGACCAGAAGAGGCCCAGGGGUGCUGACCGAGGAGCAGAUUCACAGGCCCAGAGCCCUUCCGGGACAGGGCCAUCGACCCACCGUCUUCCUCAGGCCUCUUGGGAAGGGCCCUCCCCCCUUCCCUGGGAGAGUGUUGGAGAGACAGCCUUUCCAAGUGUGGUACAAGGAGGGGCGCCAGCCUCCUGCCUCCCCUCUUGCCUGGGAAGCUUGCCCAGCAUCUCUGUUUGGGCUUUAACAAAAGGCUCACUGUGCCCUGUUUACCCGCAGCCUGGCCGGCCUGCCACGGCUUGAGUGUGAAAGCCAAGUCUCCAUAGGCCGACUUGGGGGCAGGAACACGCUUGGGUGGUCACCCUCCGGGAUGGAGAGGGCAGCACAUCAUUGCUUACUCCCUUCCCCCUCUGUAAGAAGCAUCAGGAGGAAAUCAACGACAUCGGUUUGAUACCUAAGGGGUGGUUCUGAGAGUAAAUCGCCAGCUCUCUACCUCCGUCCUUUCCUGGGGUCCUGAGCCUGGGUGGGGCUCCAGAAGCUCAAGGCCCUUGAGUGUGGUCUGUGAGACGGGGGCAGGUCCUGGAGGGCUCUGGGGGGUCUGGUUUGUACUUGGAGAUGCCAUUCCUUGUGGCUCAGCCCUCACCUGGGUGUCUUCCCCCACUGAGUUCUGGGAAGGUUUUCUGCAGUGACAGGUGGGUCGUGGUAAGUGUAACACCUUCCUCUGUGCCACACGGUGCAUUAUGUUGAGUAGUCACAGUAAGCCUCUGAGGCAGGUACGGUAAUAUUCCCAUUUUGCAGUUGAGGAAACUGAGGCUCAGAGGAAAAGUCAUUUGUCCCCAGGGUCUGAGCCGACCCAACCUGGGGUGCUGCUUCCCAGCAGUGAGGACAGCACCCCGUGGAGUGUCGGUCACCUGGGUGGGGCAGGCAGGGGUGGACCAACCUUUUCCUAACACAGUACACGGCAGGUACUUCUGGUAAACUUUUACUGUCAUCAGAAACCGCACGGUGAGGACAGACUUCUGGUUUUCUUCCCAGGUAUUUUUCCUGCUCAGAAAAGUACCAAAUUUAAAUAACAGAAGAGUGAGUGUAUGGUAUAGACAACCCUCUGCUAUCUGAUCCGCCCUCAGACUUAACUGCAUAUAGUUCUAUGUAUAGCUCUCCAGAUUUUUCUAUGCAUACAGUAAUAAGUUAGGGAUACAAUUUUUUUAAAACAAGAAUAGGAUCAUGCCUCUUUUGCCCUGAUUUUUUUUUUAAUUGCGGUAAGAGGGGCGCCUGGGUGGCUCAGUCGGUUAAGCAUCCGACUUCAGCUCGGGUCACGAUCUCGCGGUCCGUGAGUUCGAGCCCCGCGUCGGGCUCUGGGCUGAUGGCUCAGAGCCUGGAGCCUGCUUCCGAUUCUGUGUCUCCCUCUCUCUCUGACCCUCCCCCGUUCAUGUUCUGUCUCUCUCUGUCUCAAAAAUAAAUAAAUGUUAAA